rnacentral:rRNA from 1 species
ACCCCAGCGCCACGAGUGGGGAUCGUAAUUAUUUGGCCUAAAGCGCCCGUAGCCGGGCUGCUUAAUCUCUUGUGAAAUCGUCAAGCUUAACUUGACGGCUGGCAGGAGACACUAACAGCCUAGGGACUGGGAGGCGUCAGAUGUAUGCUUGGGGGAGCAGUAAAAUGCUAUAAUCCCAUGUAGACAACCGGUGGCGAAGGCGUCUGACGAGAACAGGUCCGACGGUCAGGGACGAAAGCUAGGGGAGCAAUCCGGAUUAGAAACCCCAGUAGUCC